ACAUAUAAUGAAUUAAAAAACACAGUACAUCCUGCAGAAUCUUUCGAAUCCUCAUGGCCUAAAAUUAACAUCUUCCUAGCCUCCAAUCAGUGACCAGAACAAGGAAAAAGGAGCUAAAAGCUCUGUUCAGCUCCCUUUCUUCCCUCUUUAUCCUUCAAUUUCUGAACAAAAUUAAAAUGCCCACCAUUUCUAGAUCACCACAAUUACCACCACCACCACCAACUCCACUCUGCCUUACCCUCUCCUCACCCCUGCAGCAAAGACCCAGUUUUAAUUUUUCCCUGUCAAACCCUUCUUCAUCAUCAUCUUUUUCUUCUUCUUCCUCAUUAUUUCACUUUAAAUUCAGACCAAAAAAGUCCCAUUUCUUGAAGCCAUGUUCUUCAUUGAGGGAAACCAAGAAACAGCAGGAGCAACAAAUGCUUGUUCCAAAGACUGCCCCACCUCCUCAGGGACUGAGGAGACUCUUGAAUUUGAGCCCAAAAGAGGAUAAUACCGAUGAUGGGGCUGAUGAUGGGGCAGUAGAGAGUGGUGGUGACGCUGCUGUUAAAGGCAGCAUCUUGGCUGGUCUUUUGUUGGUUGGUGUCGUUGGAGGAUUUGGAACAGUUGGGUAUCUUUACAAGGACCAGAUUAAUGCUUUCUUGAAUCAGUUUUCCGGGUUCAUUGACGGUAAUGUUUGAUUAAUUUUCACUGCCCAUUGAACUUAAUUUUAUGUUUGUUUUAGAAUUUUGAUCCAAUUCUUUAGUUUCUUGCAAGAAUUACGUUUGCUGCUUCUAAUUGGCUAGUAAUUUUUGCUAAAAUAAUGUUCGAUUCUAGUGGUUCAUUAAUUGAUUUUGUAAUUUAGUCUAUGCUUAGUGAAACUUUGUCUGAAAAGAUGAGAUUUUUCAGCAUAACUCAAUAGUUUGAGCAUUUAGAUGAGUUAUGUGCAGCAUUUUAAAUUUACUCUUUGGUGCACCUUUAUUGCAUUUUUAUUAUUAGUUUAAGCUAUGGGAUUGGAUGUCUUUGACACUAUCUUUUCUGUGGUCACAUUUUAGUACCUAUUACUCGAAAUUAAUGUCCACGACACUUUUACACUUUUUCAGACCUUUUCAGCCCCGGAUUUUUCUACGAAUUUUCUCUGGUUUACUAGACAAAGUUAACAGUUGUAUGAUAUGCUGAGUAUCAUGUUGACAAUUUACCUUUACUCAAAGUUCAGUACUAAGUUUUAUAGCUGGCAUUAGCAUAAUAAUGGAGCUGCCAUUAGCAUAAUAUAAUUUGCUUAGUAUAAUUUGGUGACACUGAGAUUCUACCUUAAGUUCUUAGGAAUGUUUCCCUUCAUUGCGGGUAUAAGGGCUAUUACUAGCUCUUAUUCCAUCCUUUGUAACCUAGCUGAGAAUUUCAUUUCCCUUGGUCAUCCUCAUAAUUAUAAUUUGUCCUAGUUCUUAUCUUGCUACCAUGUGAAAACCUGAAUUGACUGUACUAAGCAGACUGAUAAUAGAAUGGUAUACAUCAGGAUUUGUUGUGCUUGUCAUUAAUACUUUGUUUAUUACUAUCUUUGCAAAAGGUUUUUCUUCUUUGACUGAGAGACCUAGAAGAAUAAUAGUCCUUUGGGUUAUCUCAUACCAGUGAAGCAGGUGAACUCUUUAAUCAGAGGAUUCAAGAAAGAGACCAGUUUGGCUAAUUUGGGUUGAGAUUUAGAUUAAUAGUAGACUAUUGAUUAUAUGUUGCAUAUGUAUAUAUCGGCUCUAAUUGUAUAGUACUUGCAACUUCCUUUUGGGUGUUAUGUUUUGUUUGCUGCAGUAAUUCCUCAACUCUUGGAAGGUAGUUAAAGUUUGACCAGGAAGAUUAAUAGCUUCUGUAGUUGUUUUCUCUGCACGAAAUAGUAAAUUACUUUUGUUUGGUCCCUUGAACUCCUUUAACUUUUCUAUUCUGAGCAGGUUAUGGGCCAGCUGGAUAUGCACUUUUUGUAUUGGUCUAUGCUGGUUUGGAAGUAAGUUUGACUUCUCUUUCUUGAGUUCAUUGACUUAACCCAAAGCUAUCUAUGCUAAUGACUGGUUUAUAUUUCCUUUUUUUUCCAUGGAUUAUGGAGUUCUAUCACUUAUAUGGCUGUUCUUUGUGAGAAAAUUAUUUAUUCCACCUUAGAGAGGAUACGGAGUUCAGAAUAUGCUGCUUUUUAUUAGUUGCUGAAUCUUUUGCAUUUGGUGUAUAAAUUUUUGCGAUUUCAAAGGAAUUUCUUUUCAAUGCUGAUAGCUGCAGUAGUUAACCUUGAAGCAAUUUACUUUGCUUUUGCAUAUGAUAAUGGAAUCUAAGAAAAUGAUUUGGCUAAGAUUUCUUUUUGUGUUAUUGUGGUAGGACAGGCAAAAAUUCCUAGAACAAGGCCACAUUGGGAUUUAGCUAUUGGGAUGGGUUUACCUUUUUUAUGUUUUAGUAACUAAGUUUCUUUGCUUUGCAUAUAAUAUAGCGCUUCUCUGAUGUAAUUAAGUCUGCUGACCUUUGUACAGACUGACUUUGUUCAUUAAUUGAAAGUUAACAUAUGCUCAGCCAAAAAAAAAAGUUUUCUUUUCUUGAUGGCAAUAUUGAUCAUUCUCUAUGUUUAACUCUGCAUUUACCAGAGUGCUUCGGAUGCAAUUAUCUCUAGAGUAGAUUAGUCAUUAAGACUCAUUAGUCAUUCCAUACUGAUUACAGAUGUUUAUGCUCAUGGCAGGUCCUUGCAAUACCCGCUAUUCCGUUGACUAUGUCAGCUGGUCUGCUAUUCGGCUCUCUGAUUGGGACAAUCAUUGUCUCUAUAAGCGGAACGGUAAGCUGAUUUUUGCAUCGAAAGAGUAAAAACAAGUCUUCAAAAUUAAAGUGUAUUUUCCUCACUCUUUUAGGUGGCAGCAAGUGUUGCCUUCCUAAUUGCGAGAUAUUUUGCUCGUGAACGCAUUCUUAAGCUGGUUGAAGGGAACAAGAAAUUUCUUGCAAUUGACAAAGCAAUUGGGGAAAAUGGUUUCAAAGUUGUCACUCUUCUCCGUUUGAGCCCUUUAUUACCAUUUUCUCUUGGGAAUUAUCUCUACGGACUUACUUCUGUCAAAUUUGUGCCUUACGUAUUGGGAAGGUGAGAUUUGUUUAUUCUUUUGAUAAUUUGGGAAGGUGAGAUAUAGAUGUAUAAAUUUAUGAAUGAGUUUCUAAUGUGUUACGGAUAUAACAUGUGGAUCUUUUUCUUAAGUUUACCUGUUUUUGGUUAACCAACUCUGUUUCUAUGUUAAAUUCUGUUUGACAAUUCAUAUCUUUUUCAUCAAAAUAUUUGCGAAUUGUGAGCAUUUUUUGUGGAUCAUCAUGGUUAACCCCAAGGAUGGAUGUAUAGCAUCAUGCCUUGUAAAAGUUCAUCAAUAUGCAUAUUGGCCAGAAACAUAGGGAUGUGCAAAUUCUUGGAGGUUAUAAAGAAUGCUUUUCUAGAUUAAAGUGUUUAUUUAGCAUGUUUACUGGAUUGGAUAUGUUUUUAUUAUUAUUUUUUAACUUUUUAUGUAUCUUGAUUGAAUUCCCUUUCCUUUCUUUUACUUGAAUUGUCUGGUUCCAGAAUCUUUGAAAAAUACUGAUAACAAUUUUGUUUGGACAAUCAUUCUCCUGACCGCUGGGUAAUUGAACGUGGACAAUUAAAGCUUAAAAUUUUUGGAGAGAUUAAUUCUCAAAUUGGGUGGAACUAGAUUUUGAACUUCACUUCAUUAAAUCACCUUCCUCAAUUUGUCAUGUUUGGCCCUGUUUGGAAUUUGGGAUCUUAUGAGGGGAAGAAAAUAAAAAACUAGGUGACCUUUUUCUUGAUUUUCCAGUUAAGGAAUCAAAGAAGAAAUAAAUAUAUUAUUGAUAAACAAAGGGAGUUGCUAUUUUGGGAUUAGUUACCUUUAAAUUUUGAAAUUUGUUCUCACAUUGACAAUGAUCAACUACAUAGAGCUUUUUUUUUUUUUUUUAAAUCAAAGAGCUAAAUUUCUACAUUGAAAAUAUUACGUCAAGAUUGAGCUGGAUGGUAGUUUGUGUGAGAGUCGCAAACACAAGGGCGUGUAAGUUUGAAGUGUGUACGGUACUGUUUCAUUCUUUGAUUAAUAGCUUCCAACUGAUGUUGCUUCAACUACUAUCUGCACGCAGUUGGUUGGGAAUGCUCCCUGGAACUUGGGCUUAUGUUACUGCUGGUGCGUUUGGUCGAGCAAUUAUUGUAAGUUAUGACUGAACCAUCUCAGAAAAAAUGUCUGCUUUCUCUUUUCUUUUACCUAGAUUUCCUGAUUAUGAUUUGCUUGAGCGUUGUGGUCGAGAAGUACUUGACCUGUUUUUGCAUAUCCGGUGAUUUUCAAUUAAUUCGAACUCUCAGAAGCUAGAACAAGCAAUAGUGGUUAAUUCUUGAAACCGAGUCAGAUCUCAACCAAUAAUGUAAUAAGCUUGUUAAAUGAGAAUCUCGUUUACUUGUUUCAGCUAUCAAACAGGGGAUUGAUUUAGUAAAUCUCUAUUCAACCAAAGCCUGUUGAUGUGCUGGCUGAUAUCUUGGCCAAGCAUGUACAUGCAUUAUGACAUGUUGGAAUCAGAAUUGACCCAAGACCCAUGCUUAAUAGUGUGCCUAGCCUUUCUGAUCAUGGUCACUGUAGGUUUGGAUUUGCCAAAAUUUUCCACUAUUCAAUUUAGUUCUUAUAAACAUACGUUAAACCGGUUAUGUUUUUGGUUCACUUUUUAUUAAAUGAUUUCUUCAUAAGUUUGGUAGAGAAUCCCCUUUUAUGUUAAAUUGAUCUGAUAGGUCUUAAUUUUCCGAUAUCUAGAUCAUAUACGGAGCCAUACCAGCAAUCUGCUUCCAAAAGCUUGAUCAAGCUGUUAGAUUUGCUCAUUCUUCUUCUUCUUAAUUCUGACCUUUCAGCAAGAUGAAUCUGAUGCUGGUUUACUGGGAGGAAAUGGACAGCUGCUAACACUCGGAUUGGGGCUGCUGUUCACUGCAUUAGCUGCCACUUACGUUACCCGGUUAGCAAAGGUAAGCGAAUUGCAAGCCAGGUGCUUAUGAUGAAAUUGUCCUUGGCUUGAUCAUUGGUGUUUGCUUCUCUUUGAACUUGAUUGACUCUGGCAAUUCUGUUUAUUUUGCUUCUGGUGCAGGAUGCUGUAAAAGAUAUCGAGUAGAUGGGGGCCUAGGGACUGCCCCAUUGUAAAGCAUAACAUAAGUGAGAUCAACUCAACGACGCUGCAAAUCCUUGUAAAUCCAAAUGUAGUUUAAGCAAGUUAUAUAGGAAAUGUACCAUCAAUUUUGAACUGUAACAUCCCUUCCUCUGCUAGAUUGAAAGAUGACAUCUGAUAUGCAUUCUUGUUCAUCUUAGACUGUGUAAAUUUGAGCAUCAGAAUGAGAAACUCUUUUUGGUCCAAAAAAAGGUGUACAAUAAUGCUUUGCAGAAGGACAAUGCGCUCAAAAGGGUCAUAUUUUCUCUGAAUAGAGAUCAAGAAGUCGUUUACAGUCACCUUUUCUUGGCACGAACUACAGCCCCAAAAAGAAUGAAUCAAUCAAUAACUAAAAUAUGGGGGUGGGGAAGCUUUUACAUCAGGGCUGCAAAACACAUUCCCAUUUGCAGAUCAAAUUUCUGAAAAAAUUAGCAAACUACCGAGUGAAUAGAUAUUUUUUGAGCAUAUACUAUUUUCUCAUAAAAGAUACGUGCUUAAAUUUUACUGCUAACGUGAAAGCUGUGUUGAUAGAUGAUUUGUAAGCGAUUUAUGAUUCAAAAACAUAUUGUGAUUCACGGUGAUGAUCAUAAUGUGAUAGUUAUGUUGAUAGAUGAUUUGUAAGCGAUUUAUGAUUCAAAAACAUAUUGGGAUUCACGGCGAUGAUCAAAAUUGAACUCAUUCAAAUUUUUUUCUUAAAAAAAAAAAAGGAAAAUUACUUCUCUGCCCAAAUGAAAAAAUCUUAUUACACGUGACACAAAAUUAAUCAUAGAAAAGAAGAUCCACUUACGUGGACUGCCCCAAACUUGCAUCACAUUACAUGCAACUGUCGGCAUUCCAGGUGUCCUGGCUACAUCACUGUCAAGUUGACCUAGAAAUUAUAAAGUUCUUCUGAAUUCUGUGUCAUCAGCAGCUCACGUGAAUUGCUCAAGUGACGCCACGAAUCAGCUCCCAUGCAACUUUUCUUCCCCUCAUUCUGCAAAAGUGCCAAGUGUCCUUGAACUAUAGGAAACUUUGACAACCUUUCAUGAAAUCACAAACGAAAAUUGACUUUAUAUAUGCGUAAGUUACCUUCAGUCCUUCCUUACCUAAUAUCUUUGAAGCCUGGAUUUCCUCGAACGAACAGCUGCGAGUCCUCUGCAGACAUUUUACUGCUUUUUCCAUGAUGGAGUGGUGUCCUGAACAUGCCAUGAAAGCUUACUUGAAGACUUUACAUCUGGUAAAAUCCCGUUUCUUGCUUUCCUUUGCUCUUUCGUCGGAUCCUUGAAUGUUUAUUUCGGUGCUGUUUCAUUAGUUAUAACCGUGGGUUUUGUACAUCUGAUCACUGAAAACCCCAGAGAUUAAUGCAAAUCUUACGCAAUAGUAUGCAUAAAAUCUGCUCUAAUCCCAAAAUAUGCAUGUUUGUUUUCAGACUAUGAUGAAGUAACCAAUGCUGUAUUGUGGUAAUAAAUCUCAGCAAAAAAUUGCGUUUUGAAGAUUUAUCUGACAUUUUUCUUCCAACUUCUUGCAGCGUAAGAACUAUUCUGAUCGAACUAGCACUAGAGGAAGUCCAGAAUUUGAGGAGCCUAAGAUCAUGGAGUUUUUAUCAGCUUUGGCAGCUGGAAACUGUGCUAAACUAAUAGUUCAAAUAACCACAGAGGGAGUGACGCCAGUAACACUUGCAUUGGCCGUAGCUGCAAGACAGAUAGGAGGCAAAUUUGUUUGCAUAAUCCCUCAUGAUCAUGAUGAUGAAGAAGAUAUCAACAAAUCUAUCUGCACGCAUCAUCAGCUUAAUGGCUGUGAUCAUCUCAAAGAUGUAAUACAUAUUGUUGCAGGAAAUCCUUGUGAAAUUAUUAAACAGUUCAAGAAAAUUGACUUCAUGGUUGUUGACUCAAAGGUUGGAGAUCACUUGAAAUUAUUGAAGACUGCUGAUUUGAAUUCAAAGGGAUCUUUGAUGGUAAUGACCAAUCUUUUCAUCAAUGGUCAAAAAAGGGCGUCACUGCGAGAGAUACUCAAGGCCAAAGAUGGAGUUUACUGCAAGUCUGUCACCAUUCCAGUAGGAGAAGGAAUUGAGUUGACAAAAAUUGUACCUUCCAACAAGCAUGGCAGAAAAAGACGCACAAGAUUUCAUGUCACUUAUGAGAAUUAAUCGAUCUUGAAUGGUUACAAUGUUUUUUGCCUCCCCAGAAGAGAAACUAAUAUAGCUAUGCUUUUAUGCAGUUGCAUGUACAAUUGUUACGUAUGGUUAACAAUGUACAUAAUUCGAUAAUGCAAAAUAUGAGCAGACCAUCCAAAUCAGGAUGUGAACUUAUUCAUGUGGUUGAACUACAAUCAAAUCUCCCUUUUUUUUUUUUUUUUUUGAAAGUGAUUUAGAUCUCUGAUGAAGAAUCAACAAUCAACAUCUGAAUGCAUCAAGUUGUCUAACUUGUCGGCCUGCAACACUACAUCUUACUCAUUAGUUCUGCACAACUAAAAGAGGUUAAUUCCACUAACACUUUUUUACUUGUCAAAGAAUAAAAUAGAAAAUUAUAGAAACAAAUAGUUUUUCUUUUUUCUUUUCCUUAUUUUUUGUUAUCAAAAUGUCAAAUAUAAUGGGUAGUGGUCGUUUUUAUCUUUACGAACACUCCUAGCUAUAUGGGUGAAGUUAUCAAAAUCAUAACCUACAACAUGCAAAAUUUGAAUGAUAGUAUAUACACUGUCAACGUUUGAUGAAGGAUAAUUAUGUAAAAUUUAAAUUUAAAAUUUAACUUUUACACAUAUCAUGAAUUUAACGUAGAAAUUUAUACACUGUCAGUGUAUAUAAUAUUUACUCUAACAAUAUAUGCUAUAUAAACAUAAUCAGUUACUGACAAAUUUAAUUUAGAACCAUAGGACAUAGGUUACUAACAUUUCGAUUCCAAAAUAUCAUUCCAUUGCCAAUUACUCCAAAACCCUUGCAUUUCCUCCCCAUGUAACUGGUAACUUAUGCAAUUAAUUUUAUGUUAAAUCUUAAAUACUUUUGUUAGAGCACUCCAGCAAUUCUUAAAAUCAUUAAUCUAGUAACUAUAAGGUCAUUUCUGCACAUUUUAAGCUCCCUCCAUUCCUAUUUCCUCCUGUUAGGCUCGACAUCUCCCUUAAAAGCACUAAAAGAAAAGCAGGAUAUAAAUAGCUCACAUGAGCAGGGUUAUAAAUCAGACCAUCAGAUCUGCCCUAACUUAGCAUUCUAGUGGUGACAGCCGGACCAGCGGACCUCAAAUCUUGGAAAGCCACCAAGUGUGUCAGAGGACAGAGAUUAUGGUACGGUUUAAUGUAUUAAUGGUCCAUAUUCGGUGUUGGAUUUGGAUCUAAGGAGGGAUUUAAUAAUGUACACUGCACAGUGGAUUUGAAAUCAAUAAACUAACUCCAAUUUGUUAUUAAUCCGAAACCCUUUUUUGGUAGGAAAAUGAAUAUAAAUUUGAUCAAAAAAUUUUAAGUCCAAAAUCUUUUUAUUUGGUAAGCUUUACAUCCAAAUUCUGCUUAAUUGUAGUCUUGUGCUUAAGCCCUCCAAUGAAUAGGAAAAAGGGGAGAAAUCUGGGAAAAGAAUAGUUGAAAAUAUUGCUAAAGAAUAAUUCAUAGUUGGAGAGUAACGUUCACAAAAUGGACGGGAAUAGAAAAUACAGUUGAACAGAAAGUCUUACCUUUAUACUAGGUAUUAGUCCCCUUAUGGUCACUUUAUUGGAGUCUUAAACCUUCGCUUGGCAUAGAUGCCAUAACAUUGUGCCUGCCAAGAGCCCGAUAUAGCUUAUGAUUCCUCACGCCUUCUUGGGUUUUCCGUUGAAGGCGUUCACUUAUAUGACUGAUCCAUCACGCCUUUGUCCUGGUGCUGUGAACAAGGCGAGAAAUAAUAACAUGUAACAACUGCCUCCUUGUAUAGGAGAUAUGACUGUGAAUGCAUGAAAGAGCUUUCAUUUUCUUGAUGCAUUGCCUCGGCACUAAAGGUUAGUGAACUGGUGUAGCCGUACAACAAUGAGAACACGCCUCUUCCUUGGGGUGGAUAUAUGAAGGCGCAGUUAAUUGUACAAUCAAUAGUUGACGCCUUAGUCGAGUUUGGGACUGAGUAAAUUACUCGGAUAGUCACUAAACUUUUCGAAUGGUAGAGUUUUAGUUAUUUAACUUUUAAGAGUAUGCAUUUACUCCCUAAAUUAUUAAAAGGAUAAAUUUUGGGUCAUUUCAUUAGUUUCUACCGUUAAAUCCAAAUCAGGUAGAUUUAACGGGGGAAGAGACGAAAUGGUCAAAAUUUACAAAUUUAAUAGUUUCAUGGGUAAAUACAUACUUUUAAAAGUAUACUGUUCAAAAAGUUUACUGACUGCUCGGGUAAUUUGCUCGCUAGGGAUUGAAGAGAGAAGCAAUGCGCCUUCUAAAUAAGGUGCAACCAGAGCCCGAAUGCGUGGGAUGAACCUUUUCUUUCUCCGGUAUUUUUUCCGGGGACAGAAUGAACUUGUAAGUUAAAGAAUACGUGUAACUCACAAUUUGGUGAUCGGAAACGUCUUCUCCUUAAGUUACACCACACUGAUGAAUUAUAUGAUUGCAUCCAAAAUAGGAAAUUGAGAAGUUGUCUUGCAUACGUGCUAGCCGGCUAGAGAUCAUGAAAAUCUCUAUGGCGGUGAGAUAAAUAGGAUAAGCAUUUACUCAAGGAGAAAACAGUUCAAAUCAGUGAUAACUUGUGAAUUCAUCAACAACUGCAUUGAGGAGAAAGAAAGGAAAGCGUUAUUCAAAAGAAUCACUUAUAAAAGAAAAGAAGAAUCAGUGAAUCACGUACGCUUGUUGGGACUGUGAUAGUAGUGAAGUUGUUGCUUUGCCACGUUUUGGACUUAGUUGAUGGUCCAUUAAUUCCUUAGAUGCACCAAAAUAAAGAAAAAGAAACUAACACUUACCAUUGAUGUAUUACCGUAGAUUCAGGUGGCACUAUUUAGUGACAUGAGUCCAACACUAGGAAAGCUUGUGAAAGAUGAAAAGAGUGUCUUAUUACUUAUUAUAAACAUAAGGCAUCAUACAUCGGCUAAAGUACUUCUCGUGCUUCUUUUCUUCAAAUCAAAACGAAAUUCUUUGAAAAUGGUUUUAGGGAGAAUUUCUUCAUAUUGCUCUAGGAAAAUUCUGUGUUGAAUUUCUUAAUCCAGGCUUUAUAUUUUGUUGUUUAUAGUUUUGCUAAUUGGCACUGAUUACCAAAAAUAUUUGGGGGGGGAAGCUAGAACAGUUUUUUUGACAAGAUAGGUUACCAUAACGUCUUGCAGGUAAUGCACAAUCAAUAGUACUCUUCCUUAAACUCACGUGUAUAAAUGCUGUCCAAGAUACCCCAAAAGUGCACUACAACCCAAGCUAGCGAACUUCAUAUUCCAGUCUUUUUCGAAGGAAAAAAAAAACUCCUAUUAGCGUUUUGAAGUAGUGAAUAUGUCCUCCGAACCAAAAUCUUCCAAGGGAGGAGGUUGGAAAGCUGCUAUUUUCAUGAUCUGUUAGUAACCCUCCAAAAACGUCUAAUCAUCUCCUUAUCCAAAUUUCCUCCGCCCUGAUUUCUUUGCUUCUUCUCCUUCUUGGUGUAUUGCUCCUAAAAAGUUGGUUUCUUGUUCAAAUUAUUGCAGGUCUGGAGGUGGCUGAGAGAUUCUCCUACUAUGGGGUCGCUGGAAAUCUUAUCAACUACCUCACAGAUGUUCUACACCAGCCCACAGCAGUGGCUGCCAAGAAUGUCAACGUCUGGAUUGGUGUGUCUUCAAUCUUCCCAUUGUUAGGUGCCCUCGUUGCUGAUUCAUACAUGGGUCGAUGCAAGACUAUUUACGUCUCAUCCAUCGUGUAUCUUAUAGUAAGUUCAUCAAUCAUCACUCAACUGAUCAAUUACGUAAAUUCCCAUGACUAACUAUUCCAGUCUCCCUCGAUAUUGCAUAUCUCAGCAGCCAUUGGGCUGGUUGACAGGAUUGGUCUAAUGUUUGUUUUCUAGUGCUACAGUGACUCUUGACAGGGAUAAUUCUAUCUUAUGCUAACCUCGUAAAAGCCACCUAGCAUAAACAAUUAACGAAUGUUGAUUCAUAGAUUUUUAAAGAGUUGUACCAUUAUAUUAUGAUUUGUAUGAUCUUCUAGAAAGGUAAAAAUAUUUAAAACAUAGUGGUCUACAAGAUCAAGCUUUAUCAAUAAUUUCCUAGAAAGGAAAAUAUAAUCCUUAAGUCAAGGGUAUUUGACAAAUGAGGUUACAUGAGCACGCCUAUGGCAGUGAUAGAAUUGCUAGGACUGCUUAGCAUGGAAUUUUCCCUUUAGAUUAGACGUAUGCAUUUAUAACAUUUAUAGUUCUUGCAAUUUAAUCCAAAGAUUCUGUUCAGGCUCUUUAUCAACUGUGAACUCAUAUCCAAAUUAUGCUAAAUCAAACUUGAAUGUUUGGUGGCAGCACUUUUUAUUAUCUAUACAUUACACCACCCCAAAAAAAAAAAAAAAAGAGAAAAACAAAGAAAGAGGAGAGGGAGAGGGAGAGAGAAGUUGAGGAGACAGAUGGAUUCUGAUUCUAUCUAAUCAAAAUACACAGGGUUUAGUGGCAUUAACCAUCACAGUUUCAACAGUUCCAUCAAGUGCUCGCGAAGCAAUCUUCUUGACAUCACUUUACAUAAUGAGUGUGGGGGAAGGCGGGCACAAGCCAUGUGUACAAACAUUUGCAGCAGACCAAUUCGAUGAUGAAGUUGCUGAAGAGAAGGAAGCCAAAAGCUCGUUUUUCAAUUGGUGGUAUCUGGGGAUUGUGUCUGGUGCCACUGCUGCAAUUCUCGUUGUGAUCUACGUGCAAGAAUAUGUAGGGUGGGGCAUUGGGUAUGGAAUGCUAGCAGGGGCUCUGGCCAUAGCACUUGGGAUGUUUUCUAUUGGAAGUUGGACGGGUAAUUAUCGCCUGCAAGCUCCAAUUGGGAGCCCAUUUACGAGGGUGGCUCAAGUGUUUGUAGCAGCUGCUAGGAAACGACGUUUGUGUGAUCAGAGGGUUGAUGAUGGUGGCCAUAGUGGUGGAUUUUUUGGCCAUGAAAAAAAGGUUAGAUGUCGGAAUAAUGGAACAGACGAGGUAGAUGGAUUCAGAGUUCGUGCAUUGGCUCGCACACCUCAAUAUCGGUAGGUUUUGUUCUAUUCCAUGCACCUCUUAUUUGGUUCCAAUAGUGGCGAUCACAUCACAUCAUAUCAUAUCAUAUCAGCAUGUGUAUGCAGUACUUUUUGGGGUUUGCUAGGUACAUGGAGAAAAGCUUGUCAAAAUAUGUGCACAUUAGUUAGGUUAUCCCCAAUUGGAGAAUGGUUGGUUUCACUGCAAAAUGAAUGGAUAAAGAUAAAACGAGUAGAAUAAAUAAGUAAUUGAAAAAACAGAGUUAAAUAGGUAAAAUAAGUAAUAUAUGAACACGGAUGGCCUUGCUUUAUAAUUAUUAGAGUCAUUGAAAUAAACAAAUAUCCGAUAAUGUGAGGCAAUAACUAUAUGCGACGGUAACCAAUUCUCCGACUUACAAUUUCUUCUAUCUUAUCAUUCACCUGAUCGAAUCUUUCAGAAAAAAUAAAUUACAUUUUUUUGCAUAAUUUUUUUCUUUCUUUCCCUCCCCCCCUCCUUUUUUUUUUAAGUGGGAUGUGUUGAACAUGAAACUUCUUAUAUACAAUCCUUUUCAACUUACUAUCAAAUCCAAUCCCCUAUCUCUCUCUCUCUCUUUUUGUAUAGUUGGCCUUUUUCUUUUUCUUCUGUAUGUGCUUACUAAUGUGAGUGGCUAACUGAAGACUUGAGCAUUUUUUUCCCUGGAGUCUAGUUACCUUGCCGUGAUAGGACAUAGAAGACAUGGAGUUGCCUACACUCCAAGGAUUUCCAUAUGUAACUAUUUGCUGGUCAUCAUAAAAGUCUAUAGCCUUUAUAGCCUGCGUCGGCACAUUUCAAUUCAAGCAAGACGAAAAAAGAGAAGAAAAGAAAAACGAGAUUUGACUUAUCUUAGUCUUUAAUAUAUUAUUCUUAAUUUUUAGUGAUUAAAUUUAAAGACUUCAGGAAUUUCUACUGCUCCCCUACUUUAAAAAAAAAAUGCCAUUCUUAAAUAUUCUUAAUUUGAAAUUAAUUUAAUUUAAUUAUUAGUUGAAACAUAUUAUUGCAGACACAUAUUAUUGAAACAUAUUAAACAUCUUCGUUUUGAGUUUAACAAAGACUAAUUAAAGAUUAUUGAGUCGGUCAGUGCUCUAUUAGUAAGUAUUAGUAUCACUUAAUGGAGAUAAUCAUAACAUGACAGAAAGUGGGAUUAAAGCAAAUUGCAUUAGCAGCACAAAAGUCAACAAUCCACUAUUUCACAAAAGAAAGUGGGCAACUAAAGAUUAAAAAACAAUACCAAGUAAGGUAAGUCACUAGCAAGGAAUACGUAGCCAGUCGCUUAUCCCCAAGGUACAUGCACCAUUUCAAGUAAAGGUUGACAUGAAAGUUCCAUUAGAGAACUUGACAUGACUAGAGUCUCAACAUAGGGAAUGUUUUGCCCGAAUGGAGGGGGGAAAAUGUCAUGUCAAGGGGCUUUGAGUCUUGUAUCUCAAUUUUAACCAUUCAUUGUGAUCUACUAAUUCAUAAAUUGAGGCAUUUGGUACAAGAUAUAUAAGAGAAGUGUCAAAUCUCUUUUUUUUUUUUUUUUUUUUAAUAAAAAACAUCGUCGUUCAUUCAUUGAAUUUGCAGUAACCAUAGAAAUUACAUCAGUCAUACACAGAUACAAACAGAAUUGAAAAACAAAACUAAAUACUAUAGACCUGAAAAGGUAAGGGAACAUUACAUAUUGUGAACUUUGAAAAAUACUUGAAAGAUAAAAUAUUUAUAGUCUCACAAUUAUUUGCAUGUGUUUCUAACCGUAUUGUUUGCUUUCUCAAGAAUCUGCCAAUGAAUUGAUUUAGGUUUAGAUGUUAAUGUGAGAUCCGACGAAAUUGAUCUAAGAAAUAACUCGUUUGGAUUGCUAUUUUUAGAAGAUUUUAUAGAAAAAUAAAUUGUAACAAUUUGAUAUAUGUGAGGUAAAAAAGUGAUUGAAAAAUGUAACAAUUUUAUAGUUUUCAACACUUUAUUUUUUAAGAAAUUCACUUUGAAGUGGGGUUUUUAUAGAACUUUUUCAAAGAAUUGAAGGUGUAGGAGAAGGUGGAGGAAAAUAAAUAAAGUGAGUGUCUUGCUUUCAAUACUAGGAUAAAAACCGUUAUUCCCUUUCACCGUGGAUGAAUGGAAAAUGAUAAGCGAGGCCUAGGAUAACUUUUCUUGUAAUCUUUCCGACUUCUACUCUUAAUAUUCUGAUAUGGGUCAUUCAUUCUAUCAAUUAAAAGUGCAUUUGAUGCUAUUUUGUGCUUAAAAGUUAAAUUCUUUUCUACGCUAAAAUGUGGGGAUGAAUGAUGAACAGAUGAAUCCAACCUUUUUCGAUGUGCUUAUUGCAUAAAAUAGAAAAACCCUUCUAAUAUUUCCAGGUCUCCUUGCCAAUUACAUCGACAGAUUUCUAGACAAAGCAGCAAUCAUUGAUUCCAUAGAUGCAUCAAGUGAGAAGAGAAACCCCUGGAGGUUAUGCAGCAUGAAUCAAGUAGAGGAGGUUAAGCUCCUACUCCGCCUGAUUCCCAUAUGGGCACAAUGCUUCAUCUUCACGAUGGUCACAGCACAACUCAGUACAUAUUUCACAAAACAAGGCAGCACCAUGGUCCGUGCAUUCGGUCCAACCUCAAAAUUUCACAUACCAGCUGCUUCAUUGCAAGUAGUUACAGGCCUCACAAUCCUCAUAUCUGUCCCUAUUUAUGAACGAGCAUUUAUUCCACUAGCAAGAAAAUUCACCGGCCAGGCCUCUGGAAUAACAAUGCUGCAGCGAAUCGGCACCGGACUAUUCUUAUCUUCGAUAGCCAUGGUAGUUGCUGGACUGGUGGAGGCUAAAAGAGUAGAAACUGCAAGAGAGAAUGGGCUUACUGACUCGCCGAAAUCGAUAGUCCCCAUGAAAAUUUGGUGGUUGAUUCCACAAUAUAUGUUGUUUGGGGUCUGUGAUAUGUUCACCAUUGUUGGAAUGCAGGAGUUGUUCUACGAUCAAAUGCCUGAGGAAAUGAGAAGCAUGGGUGCGGCUGCAUAUGUUAGUUCAAUUGGAGUUGGAAACUUCAUGAGCAGCUUAGCAAUUACUGCAGUUCAAGGGAUCAGCGGGAAGAAGUGGCUUGUUGACAAUCUAAAUCGAGCAAAUCUUCACUACUUUUAUUGGAUAUUGGCAGGGUUAAGUGCUGUGAAUUUUUGCGUAUAUCUUUUUGUGGCAAAGGGCUUUAUUUACAAGAGAUUUGAGUAUUCUGAGUCAGGGAACGAGAAAGAGAUGGGUAUGCAAGUGCAUCCAGAAGGGAAUGUUUGAGAGUGUCAGUACUCAGUAUGAAGAAUGUUUGUACUUUGUAAGGGUGCAUAUGUUGUACCAAUUAAUUUCUUAAAUAAAAUUGAGGAUUAAUACCAUCUUGCUCCUUCGAAAUCUGAAUUUGGUCUCUCGAAUUGAAAAUGUGUCAUAUUAAUCCUAAAGUCUCAAUUUGGUAUCUCAAACUUAAAAAGAAAAAAGAAAAAAGAAAAAAUGUAGUAGUAUCAAUUAUUUAGACCUUGCAAGUAACAACAAAUGUCAAACAGGUCACUAAGAUUGGGAAAAAUUUUAAAUGUGUUUUUUUUUUCUUAAAGUGAGGGAACUCUUUUAACUUGGUCCGUCGUACCUAUUUUGAUAAAGUCAUUAAUAAUUGUUAAUAAAUUAUGAAAGGAUCCAACUUCCAAGAGAGGAAACUAUACAAGGCCAUUUUUGUCCUUCUAUAUAUAUAAAUAUUUGCAAUUUUAAUAAUUGUAAGGAUAAUUACUAAUUGAAAGAUAAUAAAACUUUGGUCAAGUGAUCAUACAAUUAAAAUUGACACUAAAAAAUUAGAGGUACUAAAUUGUAAUUGAACUAAUUGCAAAUAUGAUUUGAUUAUGCGUUAGUGUUCAUCUCACCAUUUGUCCACUUAUUUGAGUACGCUCUACUAAUUAUGUGAUAGGCUCUCUUUAAUAACUCAAUUUAGUACUUAAACUUAAUAUGUUCAGAUGCAUUUGAUAAAGCAAAAAUAUAAUAUCUGAAUUAAUUAAAUGCCACUAAAUUUUCUAAGUAAAACUUACUUAAUGUGAUAUAUACUUAAAUGUAUCAAAUCUAGUAUUUAACAAUUCACUAACUUAAUAGAUUCAAACUUCAGAUUUCAAAUUUUAUUUUUUAAAUUUUAAUUUUAUCAAGCACACCUUAGUCCUCUUUGGAUCGUUGGUUCCUGUAAUUAUAACUAAUUAUAUAUCAGUGUUCAUGAGUUCUACCAUACGUGACUUGUGGCAAAACUGUAAUUGGCUAAUUUUAAUAUUGUUGAAUCAAUUAAGGUGGGGUUGAAGAGAUUUGGGGCAAUUGCAAUUGAGAUUAGGUACAAUUGGAACGUUGAUGAAUUUGUUGCAGAAGUUAGUGUAACUUUAUCGACGUGGUUGUAUUUAUAUAUUGAACUAGUUUUGUACCCGUUCGUUGAAUGGGAAUUGUCUAAAAAUAAUAAAUUAUUUAGUAUAGUUCAUAAAAAUAUUUGCAUAAAAUACAAAUUUAUUGUCUAAUCUAUUAUAGCCUUUCUUAAAUACAUUGUUAUUCAAAAAUAGUCUUAUAAUGUAAAUUUAAACAUCUAAUUCAGUGAUUAAUAAAUUCAAAAAUGCAAAAAAAAAAAUCAACAAUAUGAUGACAUUCAAAAACUUGAAAAUAAGGAAGAUCAAAUCUUGGCUGAUCUUCUGUAAACAAAAGAAUGGCCAACCCGUUACCAAGACAUCAAUUUUGGUACUUAAUAUAAAUGGCUUAAAGGUUAAUGUGAAAAGAAAAGAAGCCGACAAAACUUGCAAUAUCGUUUGAAAAGGAAAAAAGAGAGACAAAAAUCACCGAACUUGCAGUAUCGUUUUAUAUUAUAAUAAGUAGCUACAGUUGGAAACAAACAAACAUAAAAGUGCCCUCACACAUAAAUUAUUUAACUAAUUUUAUAAAAAUGUCGAUAUAAAAUAAAAUUUUAAUGUAUAAUCUAUUAUAACUUGUCUUAAGUAUAUUACUAUGUGCGCAUUGUAAUACAAAAUAUUCUUAUAAUAUAAAUUUGAACAUCUAAUUCAGUGAAUAAUAAUUCAAAAAUAGAAAAAAUAUCAUUCAACAAUACCAUAAUAUUAAAAAACUUGAAAAUAAAUAAGAAGUGCAGUAAAUAGUAUCAAAUAAUAUUCUAUUCUUCAGAAACUUGUUUUUGUUUUUCUUAUGUUUGAGCAUGCUCCUCGAUCUGUCUGUGCAAAUCAGCAUUUAUUAAUUUUUCAUUAUCGCUGCAUGAUAGCAAAGCAAGAUAACUAAGUAUUGGAAAAUAAAUGAUUUAUCGCAUUCAAAGUUGUGUAUAACAAUACGUAAAGAUUAUAAUUUAAGAAAGUAAAAUAGUAUAUUAAAUCUACCUUCUCAUGCAAAUCUUUUUAUGAGGAUUCCCUUCUUCUGUGAUUUUUGUUGAACCCUCUGAUGAAUGAUUCAUAUGAAGUGUAUUGAAAUGCUGUUGAUUAGAAUCAUCCGGUGUACUAAUUGGGAUCUGGGAAGAAGAUGUUUUAGGUUGGUAUUGGUUGUUGGUUCCACCAAUCUGAUAAUGAUUUAUCAAAAUUAAAGGCAAAAUAUUAUGUGAGAUAUAAUAUGUGAAAUAUAAGAGAAAUUUAUUGUACAUUACCUGUGAAAGCAUGAAAUUCGUUCCCUCUCGAAAUCACAGUGGAACCAUCUAGUUACUGUAAAUCUAUUACUACCUUGUUCCAGAUUGUAAUUGUUCAACUUGAUUUGGAACACAAAAGGUUUCCAUGUAAUCUUAUUUCUAAUUGAUGACACGAUUUCAUUGCUAAAUCCUUCCUGAAAAUGAAAUGCAUAAUAGAUUUUUUUUUUGUUAGAAUAUUCAACGGCUAAGAUAAGUGUCAAAUUGUCUACUAUUAUUAAAAACUUCUCAAAAAUUAGAUAUAAGUUUACCUUAUUAAAUUCUUCAAGAACAAAAGAAAGUUUGUGCUAAAGAAAAUUUAAAAAUGUUUAGGCUUGACAAUUAAGGUUAAGGAAAGGUGAGAGAAUGGAAGAAAUAAUUAUGGAAGGAUUAUCUAGAAUUGUAAAGUCAAGAGAAAAAAGUGGGAUAGAAUAGUGUAGGUUAUUAGGGAGUUAACUCAGAGAGCGCGUUGCACCUAUUUGCUAUGUCAAUAAGCCACGUAGGAAAGAGAUAAACUAAAAGGAUAAGGAUAAGAAUACAAUUUUAUUAUAUAUAUAUAUAUAUAUAUAUAUCUCUAUAUAUAUGAUUGGAAUUUUUUCUUUUUCAUAAAUUUUAUGCUAUGCACUAUGUCUUGAUAACGCACUUAAUAAUAAAAUUUAUUAAGAAUCCUAUUAGGAAACUAUUUGUCAUCUCGUUAAGUCACGUAAGAAAGAGAAAACAUGAAGGAAUAAGAAUGAGGAUACAACUUUAUUAUAUAUAUAUAUGAUUAGUGUAAAUAAACAAAAAAUUUAUGUAUAUAACAAAGUAAUUUUUUUUAAAAUAAUAUAACAAAGUAAUGUUAUUAUAGCAAUUACACCAUUUUAUACAUGCUCAAAACUUGGGCUAAAGUUAGAGUGGGUUAGUUGUAAUGGGCUAAGUUCUAAAUUCAAAUAUUUGCAAACUAAUCUUUGUACCAAAAAAAAAAAAAAAAGGCAGAGUAAAUAAAAUAACGAAAAAAAUCUGAUUGCAAAAUGAGAAAAGUAAAAAAGAACUUAAUCGAGCGAGCUUGUUAAGUAGUAGUAUUAAGGUAGGGAUAAUUUCAGAAACCUCCCUAAGGUUUCGGACAAUCUCACUAGCUUCUCUUAAAGUUUGUAAAAUUUACAAACCUCCUAUGAGAUUAGGAUUUUGAUAACAAAGUUAGUCCAAUUUAAAAAAAAUAAUAUUAAAAAGUACUUCAAGGGAAGAGAUGAAACUUUUAUUCUAUAAAUACUCCUUAUGCAUGUACAUAAGCCGUAUUAGUAAAAGAAUAAAAAUAAUUAAAAGUUAGAAACAAUUAAUACACAUAUUUAACUACUCAAAAAGUUCACAUUUAAUAAAUUAGAUAAUAUAAAUAAGUAACAAAACUACACUAAUGAUUACAAGAUUCAACAAAAUAAACUAGUCAACUCUUUUAACAUAAUAUUUGCUAUGAUUCUUGUAAUUUUGAAUAGAAAAGUUUUUAAAUUUUGCAUUUCUUUUCCCUCUUUUUAGUUUUCUUUGAAACUCUUAAAAUUAUGACAAUUGUAAAGUAAUUUUAUUGAAAUAAAAGAGAUAAUUGUGAAGUAAUUUCAUGGAAAUAAGGGAGAAAUGAGGGGAAAAAAACAAAAUUUGAAAAUUUUUGAAAUGGAGGGAAAAUUUGUUGCUUAUUAGUAUUGUGUAAUUUAUUAAAUGUGAAUUUUUUAAGUGAUUAAAUAUGUAUAUUAAUUAUUUCUAAUUUUCAUUAUUUUUAUUUUUUUACUAAUAUGACUUAUAUAUGUGCAUAAGGGGUAUUUAUGAAAUAAAAGUUUCAUCUCUCUCUUUAAAGUACUUUUUUAAUGUUAUUUUUUUUAAUUGGAUUAACUUUGUUAUCAAAACCUUAACCUCGGAAGAGGUUUGUAUAAUUUUACAAACUUUAGGGGAGGAUAUUGAAAUUAUUAGAAACCUCAGGGGAGGUUUCUGAAAUUAUCCCAUUAAGGUAUUACUAUUAAGUAUUAACAGUAAAAAUGUCUCCUCCUUCACCUUCACCGCCACCGUGCCACCGUCGCCUCCUUCUUCCCGAUAUAUUUCCUAGCAUCCGGCUGGAUAAGUCCAAUUGCACCUUUCGCUUUCAACAAGUCUUUUUCUUCUAUUCCGCCAUACCUACCCUCCUUCCUCUUUCUGCCUUGAUCUUUUUUCUCCAUUAAAUACCCCAAAAUAUACAGCUAGCACUUGACGCCGACGCCGAACACCGUAAGGUUCUCUUUCAUUUUAUUUUAAUGUUAUUAUUAUUAUACAGUGGUUAAUAAUUGUUCGCAAAUUAAUAAUAUGGCUUUCUCCGUGUGCAAUUUACCUCUGGUUAGAGUGAAUGGCAUCUAGCAGAGCAAUUUUUCCGGGGCGGCGCUACCGUUUUUGUAGGAUAUCAAUUAGCUUGGUGGUUUAGUUCCUAGACUAGUCUUGAAAAUAUAAUUGUACCAAAACAAAUUGUUGUUUUUUCCCUCAAGUCUCUCCACAUGUUGGUCUGGAAAAGAUUUGACAUGUAUGAGCUAUGAAAGAGCAAUUUCGAUUGAUUGGAAAUAUGGUAGGUAGGAGAUUAAGAUCAACGAAAUGUGUUGUUUUUUCUAGUUUGAGCUUUGUAUUUCUUGGUUGUUGGAUUUUUUAGCUUUUUAAGAGGAGAUGCACUCUGGAAUUUGUUGAGUUGCUUGUUUUGUUGGUCAGGUUCUGGAGCUCAGGCUUAUGAUAGCUAAGGGCGGUAGAAAUAUAGAGCUAUCCUUUGUGCUUGCUGGACUUCUAAAGUCAUGGUUCAAUCAGCUUAAUUCUACUUAGAUUUUCACAGUUAAAUUUUGUUAUGAAUCUUAGAAAACGUCCAAUGGAGAGAUGCUCAGUUUGAAGAUUUUCAGACUGGGAUGUAUUUAAGUAGAAACUUAUAAUAGAAGCACGGAUUAUAGUUGCACUGUGUAUCUGUGUUUAUUAGCUUAUUCAAGAAAGUAAAUUGAACCUCUUAGUAGCCUAGGCAGGUUGAAUUCGGUAACUGAAAAUGGGAACUAAAGGAAAAAAAGAUCUGUUAGGAUAUGAAGAUCUAGAGGGUAGAAAGAUUUCAAAUGACCCAAAAAAUGCUCUUUUUCGUUUUUGAAUUAGAAAGCAGAUAUAAAUGUCAUUUUCCUAGCCAUACAGACUAUUAAGUUUGAGCAAGAUGUACAUGGCCUGAGAAAAUGCUCUUGGUUGUUGGAUUACAGAGAAGAAAAGAUGACGGUUAAGGAAGGAAAAGAAGUAAUCAUCUCCACCUCCUUGGUUAGUAGCUCAUCACUCCCUUGCAGAGGCAUAUUCUACUAUUUCCUUUGUCUACUGGAAAAUUUUAUCCUAAGGUUUCUGUUUUCUGGUUUUCAUCAAUGAGGCCAAGUGGGUGAUUGCUUGCAAAGAUUCUUACAUGUGAUUCUUUUUUUUCAUCUCGAUAAGCUCUUCUGAUAAUAAUCUGGAACUUACCUGUGACGUCAAUUAGAUUAGACAUUCCCCUUGAAUUUGACUUCGCAAGCUUAAUAUAACCUCAAACUCAGAUGCCAAGGUUGAAAAUUGUUUUAGAGCUUGAAUUGAGCAUGUGGAAUCUUAAAAUGCUAAACUGCAUUAUGCGGGGCUCAGUUCAACCGCAGCUCUAUUAUAGAUCUCAAAAACAGAAAAUCUUGGCUGCUCUUAAAUGUAGAGAAGUGAGAAAUACAUUUGCGUUUAACCUCCCCAGAAACAGAUAUGCCUGUUUAAUUUCUCCUGGGGAAAAAAAAUAAGAAAGACAGAAAAAAGAGUGCUUUCUUGGUGUUUCUUUUACUGUUGAUACGCAAUCUGGAAGGAAACUCAGAUACCUCAAGAUGUAUAAAGAGGAAGAUUUGAGUGGAACAAUUAGCUGGUGCGAUUCUGUGCUCAAUGUGAUCUUAAGUCUUUUAGCAGGUUGUUCUUAGUCUAAGCUUUGCUGCCACUGGGUACCAUAUUUGGCAAGAUUGGAAUCAGAGAGUUUGCAGAAGUGAAGCAUGGACUACUGAGGUGGUAAUAAAUUUCUGGUGAUAUUCAAGCUGCUGUUUCAAGUUGGGAAGAUGUGAAAAGAAGUAGGGAGAAUUGGGAAUUCUGUAUAACUUGGAAUGUGGAUCAGAUAAUUUGUUGUUGAAAUUAGAAUCGAUAAUCUUUUUUAAGGAUGAUUUUAGAAACCUCCCCCGAGAUUUCUGAGAAUUGCGGACAGUUCCCCUUUAAUUUGAGAUAUUACACAGACCUUCCUUAACACAUUGAAUUACCUUAAAUGAUCUUCAUUUAGUUCCCAAUUUACAUGGAAAAAGAGCUUGUAGGAGAAAAAGUUUUCCCAGGAUGCUCAGGUCUUCUUAAUUUGCAACCUCUUCUCUCUCUUUUCUCUCUUCCUCCUUUCUUCAUUGCUCUCCACCCAACUUCCACUGCCUAUCAGCCACCCUGCUCCUCGGGCUCGCCUAUUGUUCACCCUGUCCCUCAGUCUGUGGUUCACAAAAUUCCAAAUAACUCGGUGCUUUCUCUGUUGAAUGUAAAAGGAACAACUUUCUCAGGCCAAAGAUUUACCCCAACAAAGACUUAGUCCGAUUUUCUGCCAAGCUAAGGCUGCAGCAGUUUCCAUCAAUUGUCUCUCAUGCAUCACUGAAGGAAGAGCAAUCGUUAAGUUACCAAAGCCUGGGGAGCCAAGGUGACACUGCCUUUGUCCUGCCCCAACAGUAAUCUCUACCAAUCUUUUCCUCACCAUUACUUAGCCACAAAUUCUUCCAACAUCCACUUUUCUUUCUUUCUCCUUCAUUUAUUCACAAACAGUGGCCAUGAUUAUUUUUUCCUCUGUCUAAUCCCUAAAAUUCCUAUACCAUGUAGAACUUAUUGGUACAUCCUUUAUUAUAUUGUUUAUGGAUGUAGACUAUUUUGGGAAUAAUGAUAACUAACUUCUGGGUGUUGGUUUUUGAUUUUGAUGUUCCCUUUGCAUUUUGCUUGUGCUUUUAUGCUAUUGGCGAGAAAUUAGAGGAGAAUUUCAUGCACAGGCAGUGGCCCAUCAUUGCCCUAUGAUAACUGUAAUUUGCUUAGAACAAGCACUGAAUGGAGAAUUCUCCUCAAUUUUCCUUCCACAAUGACGUUCAGAAGUUUAACUUGUCUAAUUUUCUGUUUAGUUGGCCUAUGAAUCCAUUGCAGUUUUUAUACUUUAAUUUAAAUUUUUUUUUGAGUAAUUUGUUGGUUAUGGUCUUUGUCUUGUGUUUAUGAGAGUUGAUGAAGGCUGAGCUUUUGUAGGAUUGAAUGGAUGGUGGAUCUCUUGGUAGAAUACUUGGUUCUUGAUAUGGGUAUAAGGAUAUGUGGUCAAAGGAUUUUCGAUUUGUGUUGUUUUGAUGAUUGAAAAUGGUGGUGGUAGGGAAGAGAACUCUAAAGCUGGUGGCUGUAGUGGAGGAGAUUGAAUAUGGUGGUGGUGAUUGGAUAUGGGACGUACCUUUAAAAAAAAGGGUUUAAUAGGAGGCAUUUUAGGAUAUUCAUUGAGUAUUUUUGCUUACAUAGGCAAAUUGGGUUUUUUGUUGCCCGAAACAUGAACAUAGGGGGUUUCUGAAAUUAGAGGGGUACUGUCUGCAAUUGCUAGAAAAAGGAGUGUGCGUCAGUCCUGGUAGAUUUCUUGAGAAAUAUUUUCAGAUAUAUCUGUGUGUGUGUGUGUGUGUGUGUGUGGCUCACUGGUCAGGGGGAGGUUCGAGUCCUUUCCUUUCGCCAUGCAUAAUUUGUGCUUUCUUCAUUUAUCCUGCAUUUUGCUUCCGCUUUCAUUUUUAGGCAUAUGCAUAUAAUUAAUUCAAUCUUUUUGUUAUUUUCUGUCAGGCUGCAACAGAGCACUACAGAGAUAGACAAAAUACUAUUCAUUGUCUCUAAACUUAUUAUCCUGUACAUAGGCUGAGAAGAUCUAAAAGGGCAUUAUAAUGGGACUCUCGAAUGGGCCAAGGCUCUCUGGAAUGCAGAAGCAAGUGCUUGCUCUGUAUAGAGGAUUCCUGCGAGCAGCACACUCCAAAUCUCCAGAAGAGAGACACAAGAUUGAGUCAUUUGUGUCAUCUGAAUUCCGUCGCAAUGCCAAGCAAAUCGAUCGCAAGAAUUUCCAGUACAUUGAAUACUUGCUUCGCCUGGGUAAGAAACAACUCGAGCAGCUGAAGAACCCUGAUACUAUUGGAUUGUCAUCAUUGACUGUAAAUUCCUCUCAAACCAGAAGACCCUGAGCCCACGAGUAGUUCCAAUUUUUGAUUCCUCUAAUGGGAUCGAUUUAUUUUUUUCAGGGUAGAGAAGAGUAUAAAAUGUCUUGGCUCAUUCGUUGCAAGAUUUUAUAGCUUAUUCUCAUUUGUCCAGUUAAGGUAAAUCCAUUCAUUGUCUGCAAAUUGGCAAUAAAAGAGUACAAUCAGUGUUUUUGGAAUCGCAACGCAAUACGAUGAAGUGCUUGUGUACUUCCAAUACAAGUUAGCUAGCUUGAUGAAAUGUUCCUUCUGGAGUUUGUCAGAACUGAUUCCCCAAUCGAAGUAUGGAACCAUAAAAAUAUAUUCAAACAUGUUGGAUAAGAUAUAUACUCGCUGAUUUAUAUGCAUCUACAGAAAAUUCCUCUUUUCUUUAUAUAGAAGCUGACAGAUUAAUUUGCUUAAGGAUUUUUUUGUUUUAUUUUUUGUAUGGGCAUCCAAAAGACCUAGUCCACCUAUUUGGCCCAGUGACAUCUGGUCGACGCUGAAAAUUAAACAACAGAUUAGCACUGGUGGUGGUGGUGGAGGAGGCGGAGGAGGAGGGUGCGGUGCCAAGAACUGGCCAUUAUUUUGGGGUUGUGAAAAGAGGUAUUGAUUUUGGUGACAAAGAUGGUUUAUUUCCUAGAAAAAGAUAGGGAAAAUUUGCGAAAUAGGAAUUCGAAGAUUUGUUAUUCAUAACAAGGGUGUAACUUUUGUGGACUGCGUAUUUAGAUCAUGAAUUACUACUACUCGUAAAUUGUAAAUAAUAAGCAAAAUAUUAAUUUACUCUUACAUUAGAAUAGUGUGCACACUAUUAUAAGGGUGAUUUAGUCAUUUAGUAGUAAAUUUAUUAAUUAUAUCAGUUAUUAAACUUAAGUUAGAAUGUAAAAUCAAUUCAGUGCACAUUAUCUUUUAUCCAUGGGUAUCAAAAUCAAUUUGGAGAGUUGAGUUAGAAUGUAAAAGGUUGAUAAUAAAAAAUUUGUGAAAGGAAUUUCUUUUUGGGAAAAUAGUUUAAAAGGUCCCUCACAUUUUGCAAAAUAACCUUUUUCAUCCCUCACUUUUAAAAACGUAAUUUUACAUCAUUUACAAAUUCACAUUGGUCAAAUUUGGUCCCUACUUAGGUUUCCGACUAGUUUUUUGUUGGAAUUCACCAUGUGCCUUGCACGUGAUCAUAUUUUAAGGGCAAAAUUGUCAAAUUAAUUUUAUAUAAUUCGAUUCAUAAUCCCUCAUAUUUCAUAAAAUAAAUUUUUUCGUCCCUUACAUUUCACAAAAUGACUUUUUCCAUCCUUCACAUUUUUCAAAAUGAGUUUUUUCAUCUUUUAUUGAUCAUGUGUGUGAAUAUUUUUUUUAAAACCAUGUAUACAUCUAUUUGAUUUCACCUGAACAGUACGAAUAGCAUGUGAAAUCAAAUAGAGAUAUAUUACAUACUAUUUGUACUGCUCAAGUGUAAUCAAAUAGAUAUAUACAUGGGUUUAAAAAAAUUGUUAGUUUUUCACUUAUAUUCAUUUUCUUUUACUCGAAAUUUGAAAAUAAAGAAGACAUUUAAUCCUAAAUAUUAUCAAGUGUUUAUAUCGAAUUAAAUUUGGAUAGAAGAAGUAAAAAAAAAAAAAAGAAAAAGAAAAGUACGACAGAAAGAAAAUUAAGUGAUUGGCACUUUCAAAUUUCAAGACAAUCACUAGGCAAGUAAUUCAACUGUUGGUCUUAAAAGUAUCGAGUAGAAAUUUCAGAUUUAAACUGAAAUUUGUUAGCACAAUUAUAGAAUUCGAAUUAGGACCCAUUAAUUAGAUGAUCUUAUUAUACAACUCAAUAAAUAAAUUAUUACCAAAAGAGAAAGGUCACAAAUAUUGAAUAGGUUCAAAUGGUGAAAUCAUAUAAAUAUAUACAUGGGUUUCAAACAAAAUUAUUAGUUUUAAACCCCUAUAUAUAUCUAUUGAAUAGCAUGUGUAUAACUACGAUUAACAUGUUUAGAUGAAAUCCAAUAGAGAUAAAUUACAUAUUAUUUAUACUAUGUGAAUUUAUAGAAAAAAAGCUAUUCGUACACAUGAUCAAUGAGGGAUGAAAAAUUCAUUUUGAAAAAUGUGAGGGAUGGAAAAUUUCAUUUUUUGAAAUGUGAGGAACGAAACAAUUCAUUUUGUAAAAUGUUAGGGACGAAAAAUUUUAUUUUGUGAAAUGUGAGGGAUUAUGAAUCAGAUUAUGUAAAAUUUUGAUUUGACAAUUUUACCCUAAAACAUUGAUCACAUGCAAGUCAUGUGGUGGAUUCUACCCAAAAACUAGUCGGAAAUCUAGAUAGGGACCAAAUUUGAUCAAUGUGAAUUUGUAAGGGACGUAAAAUUAUACUUUUAAAAGUGAUGAACAAAAAAAGUCAUCUGAUAAAAUGUGAGGGACGUUUUGAACGAUUUUCCCUUUCUUUUUUGAAAGAAGAAUUAGCUAUGAUACUGACAACAUAGUAGAAAGCCAAGCUAAACCUAGUUAAACCAUAUAGUAAGUACUAAGUUGUUACGUUCUACUAUUUGAUGAUGCUAAACAUCUGAUGUAAUGCACAUAUGCAACAAAAGAGAUGCGAAAUAGCAAUAUCAAAACAGAGAAAAAAAACAUUAGAAUGAUGGAUUAUUAGACAAAAGAGGCUAUUAAUAUUAAAUUUGACUCGUAGGUGGCAAUUUAAUGCAUAUCUACCAUUAAAUGUCAGUUCAAUUCCCACUCAUCUUACUCUAUCAAUCAAAAAACAAAAAAAGGAGUUGAAAUCCUUGAUAUUGAACCAAAGACUAAAGUUGGAAAAAACUUGAUGAUGCAACGAUUACAAAUUAGUUUUAAUAUUGAGUGAAAUCUUUGAAAAAUCAAUAUAAUUUUUAGGAAAAAUCAUUCAAAACGUCCUUUACAUUUUGCAAAAUAACUUUUUUCGCCCCUCACUUUUAAAAGUGUAAUUAUACGUCCACUCUAUUUAUAGCAUGUUACAAUUGAAAAGGUAAACUUACACUCAAUAUAUAUGUAUGAAUGUAUGUAUGUGUGUGUGUGUGUAAGGCCCAUCGUCGAAAAGGUUACUGGUGGCGUUCGACACGAGACAAUUUGUAUGUGUGUGUAUAAACACACAUAUAUGCCUAAAAUUCAGUGUUUUUGGAAAAACAUUUUUAUUAAUGUAAUUUUCAAGAUGCCAAAAUCACAUGCAAGUUUGCAAACUAGCUAAAAGAUGCCUUAUCAAAAGAAAAAAUUACAAAUUUAAUUGAAAAUACCUAGAUGAAUUGCAAAAAGCAAGCUGCUCUAGUGAUCUUGAGCCGCAAAAUAGUAUCAUGAACAAGUAUUUUACAAGGGCAAAUUCUUAAGUGCCAAAUAUGGUAUUUCUCUGUACUGCCGCAAGACAAAUGAUGAUCCAAAAGUGCAAAUAGUGCAAUUUUAACGAUAAAAUUGGUAUUUGUGCUAGUGAGUGCUCAAAGUCUGUUGCAUUGAUUGAUUUUUGGCAUUUUCAAAUUCGGCAUUAUAAUGGGACUCUUUUAACAAGUUAACUGAUAGAUAUUGAAAUAGUUCUAAAAGUAUAAAUAUUAACUUAUUUGGUAACAAAUGUGCAAAUAUCAAAUAUAAUGCAAUGGAGAACAUAGUAGCCCAACCACCAUUUAGGGUUCCAAAUUAGUAUAAUGGGUUUCAAUUGAAGAAAAGGCACCAAAUACUAUAGAGUGAAAAAGAUACUAUUAUUUGAUUGGAAUUCAAAAGCUACACAAAAGAAAAAUCAAUAAAUUAAAUUCGAUUCAAAGGCAGUCAGGUUAUAAUCAAGAAGACACAUGAAACUCAAGAAUAUCCUAUAUCCUAUAUAUAUAUAUAUAUAUAUAUAUAUAUAUAUAUAUAUGUAUGUAUGUAUGUAUAUAUAAAGGAGUUUGUAGAUGGGAGUUUGUAGAUGACUGUUGGAAAAUUUUUCAUCUGCCAUCUUUGGGGAUAAAAUCAAAUGCAAGUGAUUAGACCAAAUGUGUAACAUUAUAGUGUAUAGUUGAGUUGGGUUGACUAUUAUGUUCUCCCAUUUGCAAUUGGCUUAUAUUCCACGUGAUUAUCAAGCUUUUAAGUGGUGUUUAAACCACUUACAACUGUAAUUGCUUUUUUUUUUUUUAAUUAAAAUUUGGACCAUUUCUCGAUUUGUGCGUGUCAUCCUUGCGUAGGGGCCAUGCUAAUCUUCUCUGUAUCGUUCCAAUUUUAUGGAAUGUCCCCAAAGGGACCACUUACAAGUGUAAUUGCAAUGCUCUUCAUCUUCUUUUAUAAUUACUGGGUAGCUUUUAUAGCUACAAUAAUAGAGGGUCUUAAUGUUAAAGAUGAUUGGUUCAAGAAACACUUAAUAAUAAAUAUGAUUGGUUUUGGUUCAUAUUUCCAAUCCGUUACAAAUAUAAUUAUAGUGCUUUUCAACUUGACAAUAAUGAAGGCUUUUAAUACUGAAGAAUGUUGCUUCAAGUGCUUGUGCUCAAUCUUUUGUUGUGCGUGUUUGGACAUGUAUGCUCAUUUACUUUCUUUCUUUUUGGAAUUUUGGAUGUUUAACUGAUACAAUAAAAGUUGUGAGUUUUCUACUGCAAUAUUUUCUCAAUAGCUAUUGUCUGAAUAUAGAAAUUUCGUUAUGGAAUACAUGAUACAUACAUAUGAAUAUCCAUGGGAACCUUCUUACAUUUUCUAACUAUUUUCCAAAAUUUGAUGUUCGUGGCUGCAGGUGAUUAAACUACGACUAAAGAUUAUGUAUUGACUGCAAUUUCAUGACCAAGGUAGGAUCUAAAUCCGACCUUAUAGUUGAUACAUGUUAAUUGUCGAUUGGAUAUGGCUAUGAUUGUAUUAUAAUGGUAUAGUAACAAAGGUAAUGAUAUUUUUGCUUUUGUUGUUGUGGUAUGGUGUAAUUAUCUACUACAAUCCUAUUUCUUUUACUUAUAAAUUUGUUUUCCUUUAUAAGUUUGUUGAUUUGGCCAAUUUAUUUAUAAUUUCAUGCACUUUAACUGAUUCAAUUAAACCAAUUACCAUACAAUUCUAAUUCUACUAUUUUUUUUUAUAAAUUUAUUUGAAUAAAUAUUUUAUCACAUAGGUUAAACUCCCGCGGGCUUCCCCCUAGUUGUAUACAAUAAAUUUACUAUCAAACCAUCAAUGAAGUGCUAAAUACGUACCUUAGUCAUCAAACACAUAAACGAAUCUAAAGAAACAUAUGAAGUUUGGGCUCUCACUUUUUGUCGAGCUAUUUUUGGUAUAAAAGAGUUGUUACAAAAUUUUGAACUUUCUUCUAUUAUGUAUUUAAGUAUAUAUGAAAUAAAAAGGUUUUAUCUAACUUAUAGCCACUCGAUACUUAUUAGCAUUACUAGGAAAUUAUCUGAGUCUUGGAACUUAUCAUAUAUAGUAGCUUGAAACAAUGUAUACCCUAGUAUAAAGAUGAAAGAACUUAUGUACAUGCUAAGAUAAUAACAUGCAAAAGCUUUGUAAUUGUUGUCACCUGUCUAAGAUUUUGUACCACUGUUAAUCCUAUUCAUCAAAUCUAAAAUUAGCCUUAUUCUCACCAUUAUUUGUCUCUUCUAAUCGCACCUGUAAUUGCCAAGAACUUUCUCCUGCAUUUGCAAGGAUAAUAUAUGCCAAAUUUAAAUGAUUUUUUUUGUUGAAUUAAAAAUAUGCUUACCACUCAAAUCAAGAGCAAUUAUUUUUAUUCAAUUCUAGACUAUCAUUUUGUGCUAUCCCACAAUAAGCUUUUUCCUAUAUUUUUGUAAAACUAUUUGAAUCAACUUCUUUCUCCACGUGAUUUUUAACUUUUAGCGUCAUUAAAAAAUGCCUUGAGUAAUGGUUAAACUUUUAUGUUAUAAUCGUUUCUUCUCAGUCACUAGGUUAAAAUUAAGCUAUUCAGAUUUUUUUUUAUUAUCACUUAACCAUCAUCAAUACAACAUGUUGUGCAUCACAUAAUUGUUCGUAUUAGAAUUUAAAGCAUAUUACUGAUGCUUGAUCCAUCAUUCAACAACGAAAUAGACUUGUUAUAAAAAAAAAAAACAUGAGACAUGGUUUUAUGGCCCCCCUUUUUUUUUCUGUAAGUAUAAAAAGUUAUAGGAAACCUGGAAGUGCUCAUAAAAGACAUGGUUUUAUGGCUGAAAACACCAUACCACGUUUUGUGUAAAACGAUAUACCUAAAUGAAAGUGGAAAUUUCAUGCUGCAGUUAAUAGUAAGGCAAGGUUGUGAAAAUAAACAAAGAUAAGUUUUAUGAGUUCAUGACUUCAGUGAUGAAUAAUGUUGUUCCGCCAGAAGAAAAAUACAAAUGUCAAAUAGAAAAAUUAACAGUAGUUAUAACAAUAGUUAUAACAAUUAUAAAAUUAAUUAUAAUAAAAUUGUAAAUGAUAAUAAUAUAAUAAUAAUAAAUGCGGUGGGUUGAGACACAUAUAUUUUGCUUUCUUUAAGGGGAUUCAAGUUUUUGUGGAAGAAUCAAUUUCGGCGCAAUAGGAUCUCCCGCUUGUCACCUCCAGAAUACAAUAGUCCAGUCACACUUACUAUCACUUUCAUUAGUUAGCAUAACUAAGAGAGUAUAGCUCUAUCAACACCAUUUUUACUUGCCAAAAUGUAAGAUAGUAAUGUAGAGAAGAACAUAUUGUUUCUUUCUUCUAACUCUCAAAAUAUUAUGAGAAGUAGUUACACUGCUAUUAGUGGUGCUUUCUAUCUUAAAUUGCACGUGUGCGUGCACACACACACACACACAUACAUACAUAUAUAUAUAUAUAUAUAAAGUUAUUCAAAAGCCAUAAGUUACAUAAAUAAUAAUAUGCUAGAUAAAUAUAGGAGUUAUUGACUAUUCAAAUUAUAUUUAAAUUAGAAUUGUAAAAAAAACUUGGACCAUAUAGAGAUUUGAUCCUACAACUUUACUCUCUCUCUCAUUAUUCUCUCUAUCUUAUUUCUUCUCGCCAUUAGUGAUCGUAAGGUUUCAUGGCAGCCCUUCAGCCGUCGGCUGAGGGGCAAGAAUUUUUCCCUACAACAAAAAAAUCUUUUUCUCAGCUUUUCUCACAGCCGGCAACAUCUCCAAUCCAGAUUAGGCAAGCGUCUGUUUAUAAGGGUGAAGCUGCGGUUAUAUUUUCCAGAGUAGAAGCGGACAAACUUGCAGCACCAUUUAGAUGGACUUUGGUUGGCAAAUUCUCUCAUGGACGACCUUCUUUGGAAGAUAUUCGAAAGUUUUUUUCCUCUUUAAACUUGAAAGACCAAGUCUCCAUUGGAUUACUGGACUACAGGCAUGUACUUAUUAAAUGUACAGCUGAAGCAGAUUUCAAUAGAAUUUGGACAAGAGGAGUUUGGCAGUUGGGUAAACAUCCAAUGCGUGUGUUUCGAUGGACCAGGGAUUUUCAUGUGCAUAGAGAAUCAUCUCUAGUACCGGUUUGGGUAAAUCUUCCAUCUCUACCUAUUCAUUAUUUUGACAAACACUCUUUGUUUUCCAUUCUGUCUCCAGUAGGAAGACCAUUGUUCCUAGAUUCGGCAACGGCUGCUGGGACACGUCCUAGUGUAGCCAGGGUGUGCGUAGAGAUAGAUGUUGCGAAGCUUGUUGUGCCACGGGUGUGGGUUGCUGUCGAAGGGGAAUCAGGUUUCUGGCAACGUAUUGAGACAGAGAAUCUUCCUCCGUAUUGUUCUUUCUGUUCAAGAUUAGGACAUUCUCAUGAGCACUGCAACAAGAAUUUGAAAAAUGAUGGGUCUCGGCUGCAGCUGAACAACCAGCAAAGCCCAUACAUAGAUAGAAGUAAGAUGAUUACUCAUCAACCUGGGACUAAUCAAACUGAUUUGGAGAAUAAAAAGGCAGCGAAUAUAUCCACUGUUAUUGCUAUUGAAAUGACAGAUAAGGAAGUUGCUGCUACUGCGAAUGAAACUGUGAUAAAUGAGUCUGCUUCACAGGAAAUUUCAACUACUGCUACGGUGAAAAAAGGGAUAAAAACUUCAGCAGCAAAAGCCAUGGUUGCUGAGCCUGCCGUGCUAGUCGUGCAAAAGGAAGUAAAAAAUCUGCAACACUGCAUUAUUGAUGAUGAUCCUGCUGAUGAAGAAGGAGUAGUAACCCAUCUACAGAAUUCAGCUGUCAAUGUAAACAUGGAGACAUGUAAGGUGAUGAAUACGGUUUUGCAUGGGGGACAUGAAGCAAUGGAAAACCAGCUGGAGGAACAUCAUGGCAGUCAAAGCGAAGGGUCCCAUGUCCUCAAUGAGAAACAUUUGAGCACUGAACAACAUCAUCUGGCCGAGAAUGCUUUAACAUUGGCACAACAGUAUCUGACCGACAAAGCUAUAAGAGUUACACAAGAGAAUCUGCCCCACAACAACGCCAAGGGUGAUCAUGAGCAAUUGGCCGACAAAACCAAUGUUCAACUGCAGCUGUUGGCCGACACCAAUGUUUUGGAGAAUCUCUAUGUUGAAUUGCGAGGGGUGGAGGAUGAAGUUUCUACACAACAGCUGGUAGAAGCAAAUCAAAUGCCUACUAAUGCUGGAAAUCUGUCCCCACGAAUUGGUGUCCCACAAGAAAAAAUACUGGAAUCAUCAAUGAAUGGCCUAAACAUUGAUCAAACAGGUGAGACCGGUGGUGACUUCCGACAACCGCACAGGAAGGGUAUGCGAGCUCCAAUCCCAUCUGACAGACAGUUAAGGUCACAGACAUCAUCCAAAAACUCAUUCCAGGUUCUUUCUUAUGAUUAAUGGAAUAUUUUGGAAUAUUAGAGGGAUAGUAAAAGCACCAAAUCUAAGAAGAUUGAUUAAAUUAGUUCGGAUUUAUCAUGUUCAUUUUGUUGUGAUUUGUGAGCCAAAACUAGACGUAUCUAAAACCGAAUUCAUUCGGUUACGUCUAUCUUUUGAUUAUGUGUUUGUUAAUUGCUCUAGUGAUAUUUGGGUUUUCUAUAAUAAUCCUUUUGUUUGCUCGAUCGUUGGUAAUUCGGAUCAGCAUAUUUCUCUAGAUGUUCAAAAGCCAUUACUACCAAGUUCAAUCAUUAUGUCUUUUGUUCAUGCAAAGUGCUCAGUGGACGAGCGUAAAGAGUUAUGGAGUUCUUUAUUACAUGAUAAGCCUACUUUACUUCCUUGGUGUAUUGGAGGUGAUUUCAACGUUAUACUGGCAGCACACGAAAAGCGAGGGGGGCGUCCAUUUGCUAUAGCGGAAGGAGUGGAUUUUAUGAAUUUUAUGGAGGAAGCUGAGGUCUUUGAUGUAGGUUUUUCAGGAUCUAAAUUCACAUGGUCUAAUAAUCGACGGAGUAGAGCUCGGAUUUCAAAAAGGUUGGACAGAUUUUUAGUCAACGGAUCUUGUUUGGAUUUUUCAAAUGACAUUUCGCUGCUUCACUUGGCAAGACACCCCUCCGAUCAUGCACCAUUGAAGGUUUCUUUUGCAACUCGGUCAGAUAACAAACCUCGGCCGUUCCAUUUUCUGAAUAUUUGGACUUCCAAACCAGAUCUCUUGGAAGUGAUUCGCCAUGUUUGGAAACAAGAUGUGGGUGGAUCUCCGCUUCGCGUAUUGUGUUCUAAAUUAUUGGCAAUGAGGAGAGCUAUUCAAUCAUGGAACAAGCAACAUUUUGGGAAUAUUUUUGAUGCUGUCCGCUCUGCAGAAAUGGCGGUUCAACGAGCUGAGGAGUUGCUAGACCAAGAUUAUUCCGAAGCGGGUCAAAUUGAGCUUAAUAAGGCACAAGCAGAAUUGCGGUAUUCAAUGUCAAUUGAAGAGCGGUAUUGGAGACAGAAGGCCAGGGUCAAAUGGCUACGUCAUGGAGAUAGGAAUACAAGAUAUUUUCAUGCGGUAGUAAGGCAGAGAAGAGCUGAAGGAGUGAUACACCGCAUCAAAAAGUUCAAUGGUGUUUGGGUGGAAAAGGAUGACGAUAUAGCAAGUGAGGCAACGGCAUAUUUCAAUGAUCUUUUCACGGGCUCUUUGGAAUCAUCUACUGAUAUGCUACAUUUAAUUCCGCACUUGGUUACGGAAGAGGAUAAUGGAAAACUGGAAGCAUUACCUUCGAUUGAGGAGGUAUAUGGAGUCAUAAAGUUAAUGGAUGGAGAAAGUGCAGCUGGCCCAGACGGUUUCACAGGCAAAUUUUUUACAUUUGCUUGGGAAGUGAUCGCUCAAGAUGUUUACAAUGCGGUACUGAGUUUCUUCUGUGGGGCGGAGCUACCACGAUUCAUCACUUCUACUUCAAUUAUACUACUGCCAAAGACGCCAAAUCCUCAGGAAUUCUCUUAAUUCAGGCCCAUCAGUCUAUGUAAUUUUUUCAAUAAAGUGUUAUCUCGGAUUUUGACAGACAGGAUGGCUUGUUUACUGCCAAAAAUCAUUUCCCCACAUCAGACAGGUUUUGUGAAGGGCCGCAAUAUAACUGAAAAUUUUCUACUAGCUCAAGAGAUGGUAUCAAGCAUGGGGAAAAAGAAUAGAGGUGGAAAUGUUUUAAUGAAACUAGACAUGUCCAAGGCAUAUGACCGAAUGUCAUGGGGUCAUAUUAUCAGUGUUCUAAGGAGGUUUGGAUUCGGGGAAAUAUUUAUUGACCUUAUAUGGCGAUUACUCUCUAAUGUCUGGUUUUCAAUCAUUAUAAAUGGUUCCUCCUACGGUUUCUUUAAGUCUUGGAGAGGCCUUCGCCAGGGUGACCCAUUAUCACCUGCAUUAUUCAUUAUAGGCUCUGAGGUUUUAUCUAGAGGACUGAAUAACCUCACCAUGCAAUCGAGAUUCCAGGGUUUCAAAGUUCCAUAUCGGUGUCCGGCUAUUACUCACUUGGCGUUUGCGGAUGAUGUUCUUAUAUUCGGAAAUGGAUCCUCUUCUUCUCUGAAGGCAAUCAUGCAGGUGUUGCAGGCAUAUCAAAGGUGUUCGGGGCAGCUCAUAAAUGUGCAAAAAAGCUGUUAUUUGGUCCACUCAUCGACGUCACCGGCGAGACGAAGGGCGAUUGAACGUAUCACUAGGUUUGCCUGGCAGUCAUUUCCGAUACGUUAUUUGGGAUUCCCUCUUUAUUCUGGAAGAUGCAAAUCUUCAUAUUUUGGAGAAGUGUGCCAAUCUAUUUUAGGGAGGAUUUUGUCAUGGAAAUCAAGGUUGCUUUCCUUUGGAGGCAAAAUAGUUCUAAUCAAGCAUGUGUUGGCUUCUAUGCCAAUGCAUCUAAUGUCAGCUGCUGUGAUCCCGGCCAAGGUGUUCAAACUUAUAGAAAGUUCAUGCUCGAACUUCCUAUGGAGAUCAUCAACCGACGACUCGAAGUUCCACUGGAUACGAUGGUCUCACUUGUGUUACCCGAUAGAGGAAGGGGGAGUCGGGUUCCGAAGACUACGGGACGUAUAUCAAGCUUUUUCAUGCAAGCUUUGGUGGAAUUUCCGAACAGGAUCAUCCCUGUGGGCAUCGUUCAUGAGAGCAAAAUAUUGCGGAAGCCUUCAUCCUUGUCAGAUUGAACUCAGAACAACGGACUCGACAGUUUGGAGAAGGAUGAUCAACGUAAGUAGACAAGUGGAGCUCUCAAUGUUAUGGGAUGGAGUUUGUCAUUUUUGGUAUGACAACUGGUUGGGAAGUGGUGCGUUAUUCCUACAUGCAAAAGUUAUCCCAAAUUUGUCAUUCCACAAUUUUAUCAUCAAUGGUCACUGGGAUAUAAAUCUCUUACAUUCGAUGAUGCCAAGCGAGAAAUUUAUUUCUAUUUUGGAACACCCGGUACCAGAGGAAGGGAGUGAAGUUGAAGUCUUUUGGAUGCCCACGACAUCCGGUAAGUUCUCUCUCCAAUCGGCUUUUGGGGACGUCAGGCAGACCCGUCAUAAGUCAAUGGCUUUUACUAACAUUUGGCAUCCUCAGAUUCCUUGGAAAGUCUCAUUCUUCAUGUUAAGAUUGUUUCUGGGAAGACUACCAUUACCAGAUAGGUUAAGUAAACUUGGUUUCCAACUUCCCUCAAAAUGUUUCUGCUGCUCCUCGGCAUCUGUGGAGUCUAGUGAGCACCUAUUUGCCAAUGGACAAAUUGCCUCGGUAGUUUGGAACUAUUUUGGAGGCUUAUGUGGAUUCAAGUGUCCAGGAUCUUAUUUGCGUCCUCGCAUCGUAGGAUGGUGGUUGCGCUUACAUGACUCUGAGACACGACGACUUAUCGACCGCAUUCUACCUAGUGUACUUUGCUGGCAGAUUUGAAAAGCAAAAAAUAAAGCAAUGUUUGAGGGUGUCCAGAUGCAAUCGUCUGCUAUUUGUAAGAACAUAUUCUCAGAAAUACAGGCUAUGGUGGGGAUUCAUUUCAAACAAACACUUCAAUUGCAGUCUUUUCAUCAUUUGUAUGAUCGAUCGAAUGUAUCUGUCGGUACAAUUGCAUAUAAAUUGGUUCGCUGGGAAAUAAAGGAGACAGGGAGCUUAAUACUUAACACGGAUGGAUGCUCUAAAGGUAAUCCAGAAGUGGGUGGAGGUGGUGGAGUUCUCUUCGAGACUCAAUUGGCGUACCAGUGAUUGCUUUCUCGGCUUAUCUUGGUCAAACUACAUCUCUCCGUGCAGAGACUUGGGCCCUCCUUAUUGGUCUUCAAACAUGUAAAAAUAGGGGUUUCGAAAAUAUAAGGGUUCAAUCAGAUUCAUUGCUUCUAGUUGAGAUCAUUCAGCAGCGUAUUCAAUGUCCAUGGGAGAUUCGAAGGGAAGUCAGACAGAUUUGGAAGUUCUUGGAAGAUCCUGCUCAUUUAUCACACUGUUAUCGAGAGGCUAACACAGUUGCUGAUGUUUUAUCCAAUGUCAGAACAUCUCACCCAUACCAACAAGUCAAGAUUUAUGACAGCUUCAGUAUGUUCCCAAGGGAAGCUCGUGGGGCAAUUUUUCUAGACAAGUUGGGUUUGCCCUCAGUUCGGAAAUUUAGACGUCUGUAAGAAAAUAUUGUGUAUAUCUCUUCCAUUAAUAAAAUAAAAAAUUAGCUCAAAAAAAAAAUUAGAAUUGUAGGUUACAAAACUUAUUGCAAUUAAAAACCUUUAAUUUCUACCGAUGAAGGUGAAUUCAUGAGCAUUAGUCAAAUACUAAUAAUUCUUGAAAAAAACCGUUACCGUAUUCUCUCCUUGCAACUUAUGCAUUUAACAUAAAGAUUGAAUAUUUUAUUAAAAUACUACAACAAAUAGUGCUAAUGGCUAUGAAUAAUGCUCAUGCUAACUAGACGAUAACAUGUUUCAAGUUAAUGAAACGAAGUUAGUGGAAAGAUAUCUAUUUCUUACUAGUCAUAACACUGAAUUGGUUUGAGUUAUUUUACAUUCUUUUUAGUCAAGUGCAGCAAUACAUUGAAAAAGGAAAGUCAAUUAGCAAAUGAACUUAUUAGCGUUGCUUUAUCUAUUAAUGAUUUCCUCGUAUAAUUUGAGAAAAUUCGUGAUUUUAUGGUACUUUUUCUUGACACAUUUAUGCCUUGAUAAACAAGAGAUUCAAAAUUUAUCAAUCACUCGUACAACUUAUUGGUCAUACUUACUAUGAAAACAUCUUGAAGAUUGUUCACAACAAUUCAAAACUGAUUAUAGCAUCCAAGUAAAUCUGAAAGAAAUGUUCAACGAAUUAGUGCAAAAGAUAAUAAAUCGAGUGUUUCUAGUAUGAGAAUUCCAAAUGUUAUGGGAGACGGGGGAGGGGAGGGUAAGGGGUGUGUUGGAUGUAAGAUUUACUUCUUCAUUAGAGUCUAUUGAUAAGUCUAGAGUGCUGGACAUAAGAACUCUAAGGUCAUUGUCAUGUCCCAACAUUUCCUUGUUCACUUGGCAUGGGCUCUGUUUAGAAUCCUCAAACCAUAACUGUCAUUUGCAUUCUUUUGAUUGCCUCUUUCCACCUGAAAUUACACUCCUGUACUCAUUUUCUGGCUCCAAAUGGCUUUCAUAAUCAAACACUAUCCUUACUAGCGUACCCAAUAUAAAUCAUGACAUUAUGAUUUUGGUAAUUUUAUUGUUUAAUUCUUCUCAUUUUACAUUGAAUGCUUUGGAUCUCCACAAGAUCCAUCAGCUGAAAAGAUGAUGGACAUUCAAGAAAGGGCAACAAAAAUCAUGGAAUGCAAAGUAUAGUCAUAGAAGAUGUCGGCUAGCGAUCGAUUCUCAAAAUCAGACUGAGCCAUAUGUCAGUCGCGGUAGCAUGCACAUGAAUGAUGUAAAAGAUGGGGGCAAUGCAGGGAGGCAAAAGUUGAACUUUUCAUUUUUCGUUAUAGCCUUUAACUGAGAAAAUAUAAGGGAAUUUUUUUCCUGAUAAUAAAUGAAGAAACAAAAUUUUUGUAUAGCUUAGAUAGUGUUCUUGUUUCAAGACAUGCCAAAAUAAUGUAUAACUUUCGCAUUACUUAUUGGGACCAAUAGCAAUUACUUACUAUCAAUGUUUUCAAACUCAGAUCGUUGAUUGAUCGGUUGAGCUUUCAGUUCACGUUCAACCUAGUUCAAUCGGUUCGAUUCAAUUCAAAUGUUUUUCUUUUUUUCUUUUAUUUAAUAUGUAAAUUGGAUGACUUUAAAAGAAGUUAAUAUGAACCGGUUCAAAAGUUCAGUUUUUUGAGCGGUUCGAUUCAUUCUUAACUGAAUUUGAUUGAUUCAAUUGAUUUUUUGGAUUUACUAGUUAACUAAAUCAGUAUUGUGACCAGUUUGCAAUUCGAAUGGCCAAUUUUCAAAACACUGCUUACUAUGUCAAUAUUAUGAAGAUUGUCCAUAGCAAUUCAAAAGCGACUAGAGCAUUCAAGUAAAUUUGAAAGACAGUAAAUGUUCAACGAAUUUCUCAAAAUGAUGAUGGAUUAGUCAAAGUUGGUUGUUUCUUUAUUUACGGUGUUGUAAUAAAUUCAUUAUGAGCAUAUAUGCACUGUAAACCAUUCAAGGAUAUUUUGUUGUACUUUGAUACCA
rnacentral:lncRNA from 1 species